GUCUAUGGCCAUACCACCUUGAACGCACCCAAUUUUUGUCUGAUCUCGGAAGCUAAGCAGGAUCAGGCCUGGUUAGUACUUGGAUGGGAGACAGCAUGGGAAUAACGGGCGCUGUAGGCU
rnacentral:rRNA from 1 species